rnacentral:rRNA from 1 species
GGGUCUUACCGAGUUAUCCACUCCCAACCCCUGUGAAUUAUACCUUUAAUUGUUGCUUCGGCGGGACUUCGCGCCCGCCGGGGACCCAAACCUUCUGAAUUUUUUUAAUAAGUAUCUUCUGAGUGGUUAAAAAAAAAUGAAUCAAAACUUUCAACAACGGAUCUCUUGGUUCUGGCAUCGAUGAAGAACGCAGCGAAAUGCGAUAAGUAAUGUGAAUUGCAGAAUUCAGUGAAUCAUCGAAUCUUUGAACGCACAUUGCGCCCGUCAGUAUUCUGGCGGGCAUGCCUGUUCGAGCGUCAUUACGCCCCUCAAGUCCCCUGUGGACUUGGUGUUGGGGAUCGGCGAGGCUGGUUUUCCAGCACAGCCGUCCCUCAAAUCAAUUGGCGGUCUCGCCGUGGCCCUCCUCUGCGCAGUAGUAAAACACUCGCAACAGGAGCCCGGCGCGGUCCACUGCCGUAAAACCCCCCAACUUUUUAUAGUUGACCUCGAAUCAGGUAGGACU